CAAGACACACAAGGUUCUAUGUCUUGGAAGGAUGACAUAUUUUAUCAAGUACAAGGACCUCAUAAAAACAGACGUGUGCGAUGUAUGGGCAAGAUUCCUCAUUCUAAAAAAUCGAAGGUUCCUGAUGCUACUAGUGCUCAAAACCAUUUGAAUUCACUUAGUCCAAACAACAACGAAAAUAAUGAAAAUGGUGAAGAUUAAAAGCUAUUUUGUUGA